GCUGGGUGCAGUGGUGUGCACCUGUAGUCCCAGGUAGUCAGAAGGCUAAGGCAGGAGGAUGGCUUGAGCCCAGGGGUUUGAGGCUGCAGUGAGCUAUGAUCAUGCUUGUGAAUAGCCAGUGCACUCCAGCCUGGGCAACAUUACAAGAUCCUGUCUUUA
ensembl:misc_RNA Metazoa_SRP Metazoan signal recognition particle RNA